rnacentral:lncRNA from 1 species
GUUAUUCAAAUUCUAGCUUUUUAUAUCUACUUUAUUAGUGGUAAUAUGUGAAACACAUCAUAUUUUCUUCCUUUGCAAAUCGCGGAUCAGUAAAAUAUAAUAUGAAGAGGUUAAAAUCUAAACAACCGAUAUUCCAGAGUUAUUUUCAAUAUUAUUCUAACCUUCAAGAUCCAUAGGUCAGGUUGCAUCAGAAUAGCAUGGUACAAACAAAAGUUAAUGGC